UACGAAGGGGGCUAGCGUUGCUCGGAAUCACUGGGCGUAAAGCGCACGUAGGCGGAUUGUUAAGUCAGGGGUGAAAUCCUGGAGCUCAACUCCAGAACUGCCUUUGAUACUGGCGAUCUCGAGUCCGGGAGAGGUGAGUGGAACUGCGAGUGUAGAGGUGAAAUUCGUAGAUAUUCGCAAGAACACCCGUGGCGAAGGCGGUUCUCUGGGACGGUACUGACGCUGAGACGCGAAAGCGUGGGGAGCGAACAGG
rnacentral:rRNA from 1 species